GCUUCCGUAGCUUAGUGGUUAUAGCGUUCGCCUAGUAAGCGGAAGGUCGCGCGUUCGACUCGCGCUGGAAGCA
rnacentral:tRNA from 1 species